AACGAACGCUGGCGGCAGGCCUAACACAUGCAAGUCGAGCGCCCCGCAAGGGGAGCGGCAGACGGGUGAGUAGCGCGUGGGAAUCUACCCAUCUCUACGGAAUAACGCAUGGAAACGUGUGCUAAUACCGUAUACGUCCUUCGGGAGAAAGAUUUAUCGGAGAUGGAUGAGCCCGCGUUGGAUUAGCUAGUUGGUGGGGUAAAGGCCUACCAAGGCGACGAUCCAUAGCUGGUCUGAGAGGAUGAUCAGCCACACUGGGACUGAGACACGGCCCCGGCUCCUAAGGGAGGGAGAAGUGGGGAAUAUUGGACAAUGGGCGCAAGCCUGAUCCAGCCAUGCCGCGUGAGUGAUGAAGGCCCUAGGGUUGUAAAGCUCUAUCACCGGUGAAGAUAAUGACGGUAACCGGAGAAGAAGCCCCGGCUAACUUCGUGCCAGCCGCCGCGGUAACAC
rnacentral:rRNA from 1 species